rnacentral:rRNA from 1 species
UACGAAGGGUGCAAGCGUUACUCGGAAUUACUGGGCGUAAAGCGUGCGUAGGUGGUUCGUUAAGUCUGAUGUGAAAGCCCUGGGCUCAACCUGGGAAUGGCAUUGGAAACUGGCGACCUAGAGUGCGGUAGAGGGUAGUGGAAUUCCCGGUGUAGCAGUGAAAUGCGUAGAGAUCGGGAGGAACAUCUGUGGCGAAGGCGGUUCUCUGGGCCUUACCUGACGCUGAGGAGCGAAAGCGUGGGGAGCGAACAGG